GGCAAUCUUCUUCCCGUCGCUGCCGCCGUCGUGGCCGGAAGAUGGAGAAAGAAAGAAGAGGAAGCACUCGUAGUCGGCGUGUGGAGGAGAAACACUCUUCUUUCUCAACAGUCUGUUCCACCCCGUCGGCAUGUCGAGGAAGAAGAAGAGGAACAAGCUGUUGAGAAAGAAAAGGAAGCACUCGUCGUUGGAGGAGAAUCAACGGAAAUUCUUAAUGAAGGUAUUUGUUUUCGUGGACAUUGAAAUGCUAAUUUGUGUUUUUUUGUAUGAAUUAUUUAUUGUUGUUAAGGAUUUGUUGAUUUGUGUGGUGCGACGGUGUGGUGACGAUGGGGAGGCAGAUUUAACGUUUUUUGGUGGAUGGGGCGGAGGACGGCGCGUGUAGAGAAAUUCGCGAAGACUGGAAUCUUAAUCGACUAUGUCCAUGUUCAUGAAUAGUCGAUUAAGCUAAUCGACUAUGCUUUGGUAGUCGAUUAAGGUUGAUCGAC
rnacentral:lncRNA from 1 species